rnacentral:tRNA from 1 species
GCCGCAGUCCCUCAAUGGUGGAGGAGGUGUUUGGAAGACAUCGGGCCGGUGAUCCCGGCUUGCAGGUUCGACCCCUGUCUGUGGCG